rnacentral:rRNA from 1 species
GCAUAUCAAUAAGCGGAGGAAAAGAAACCAAAGGAGUUGCCUCCGUAGCGGCGAGUGAAGCGGCAAGAGAACAGAUUUGAAAUCGUGCUUUGCGGCACGAGUUGUAUAUUGCAGGUUGGAGUCUGUGUGGAAGGCGGUGUCCAAGUCCCUUGGAACAGGGCGCCCAGGAGGGUGAGAGCCCCGUGGGAUGCCGGCGGAAGCAGUGAGGCCCUUCUGACGAGUCGAGUUGUUUGGGAAUGCAGCUCCAAGCGGGUGGUAAAUUCCAUCUAAGGUUAUAUAUUGGCGAGAGACCGAUAGCGAACAAGUACUGUGAAGGAAAUAUGAAAAGCACUUUGAAAAGAGAGUGAAACAGCACGUGAAAUUGUUGUUAUUUGUUGGGUAUUUGCGCUCGACAUGGGGAUUGCGCACCGCUGCCUCUCGUGGGCGGCGCUCUGGGCUUUUCCCCUGGGGCCAGUAUCGGUUCUUGCUGCAGGAUAAGGGGUUCUGGAACCGUGGCUCUU